rnacentral:sRNA from 1 species
UUUUAUUCUAUGGUUGCGUUAGGGAUUGCAGUGGAAAUCCUUUAUUUUUUUCCUUUAAAAAAAUAAAGAUUGCAACGGAAAGCCCGACCUGAA